ACGUACCUUAGGAUCACACUAUAAGUGAUUGUCACUAUUUUAUUUUCCUAUUAGGAUCUGGCUGAUUAGCUGCCUGCCUACACCAAGUUUCUCCAUUGAAGAGACAUUACUGCAAAUGGGAAAGAAGAGCAUAGGAGAGAAUAUACCCUAAAACUGGUACCAAAUGAGUUCAGAGAAUCAAAGGAAAAGAGGAUAAUCUCACUUCAGAAAGAAGAGGGAUUAAGGUGGCUAUGGGGACCUACACUGAAGGAGUGAAGAGCUUCACAAGAGCUGAAGAAAAGAAGUUUACAGGAACUAAGCUCUGAAAAACGUAGAGCACUGACCACCCUCUGUGUAAUUUAAGACUUAGAUGUAUAGUCUUACCAUAUGUA
rnacentral:lncRNA from 1 species